AGUGAACGCUGGCGGUAGGCCUAACACAUGCAAGUCGAACGGCAGCACAGUAAGAGCUUGCUCUUACGGGUGGCGAGUGGCGGACGGGUGAGGAAUACAUCGGAAUCUACUUUUUCGUGGGGGAUAACGUAGGGAAACUUACGCUAAUACCGCAUACGACCUACGGGUGAAAGCAGGGGAUCUUCGGACCUUGCGCGAUUGAAUGAGCCGAUGUCGGAUUAGCUAGUUGGCGGGGUAAAGGCCCACCAAGGCGACGAUCCGUAGCUGGUCUGAGAGGGUGAUCAGCCAGACUGGAACUGAGAAACGGUCCAGACUCCUACGGGAGGCAGCAGUGGGGAAUAUUGGACGAUGGGGGCAAGCCUGAUCCAGCCAUACCGCGUGGGUGAAGAAGGCCUUCGGGUUGUAAAGCCCUUUUGUUGGGAAAGAAAAGCAGCAGGUUAAUACCCCGCUGUUCUGACGGUACCCAAAGAAUAAGCACCGGCUAACUUCGUG
rnacentral:rRNA from 1 species